rnacentral:rRNA from 1 species
AAAUUGAAGAGUUUGAUCAUGGCUCAGAUUGAACGCUGGCGGCAGGCCUAACACAUGCAAGUCGAACGGUAACAGAAAGCAGCUUGCUGCUUUGCUGACGAGUGGCGGACGGGUGAGUAAUGUCUGGGAAACUGCCCGAUGGAGG